rnacentral:SRP_RNA from 1 species
GACCGGGACCCGCGCGACGCCUGCUCACGAAGGGUGUCAGGUCCUGACGGAAGCAGCACUAAGAGAUGUCAGGCGGGUGCCGUGGUUGCGCCUGGUCAGG